AGGGAGAUAAGCUAACCAGCAAACUGCCGAUCUCCAAAAUCGGUCUUCUCGGUUCAAAUCCGAGUCUCCCUG
rnacentral:tRNA from 1 species